CCCAGAUCAAUAUAGAAAGGCAAAAAACAAAACAGCAGCAACAAAAAAACCUGCAAAAGGAAGUUUUAGGUGAUAUAAUCUCAUUCAGCUCCUCUCCCCUCUAUGGGUUAGGAGAUGGCUUAAGGAUUCAUGGGCUACCAGUUUCCUAACUUGGGGAACUGGGAAGCCCAAACUCAUCUUGGAGCCCUUACAUCGUGCUCUUGAGAGGCGUCACAUGCCUAGAAAGAUGUGUUUCACAGAGAAAUGUCAAAUCUCUCCAAAUCUAGCUUUUUGUGGGAGUGAGGCUUGGGAAAGCACAUUGUAAAUACUCAAUAACUAUAUAUUAUGAGGGUCCCAACAUGAUUUCAAAAAGCAAAUAAAGUUGUAUGGAUACAAACAAACUAACAAUGCUGCUCCAUUCAUUUGUGUUUCCAUUUAGUAAGUAGUAAUUUUUUUUUUUUUUUUUUUUUAAUGGAGUCUCGCUCUGUCGCCCAGGCUGGAGUGCAGUGGUGCGAUCUCGGCUCAUCGCAAGCUCCGCCUCCUGGGUUCACACCAUUCUCCUCUCUCAGUCUCCCGAGUAGCUGGACUACAGGUGCCCGCUCUCAGGCCUCUGAGCCCAAGCCAAGCCAUCGCAUCCCCUGUGACUUGCACGUAUAUGCCCAGAUGGCCUGAAGUAACUGAAGAAUCACAAAAGAAGUGAAUAUGCCCUGCCCCACCUUAACUGAUGACAUUCCACCAUAAAAGAAGUGGACGCGCAUGAAAUUUGGUGCCGCGACUCAGAUCGGGGGACCUCCCUUAGGAGAUCAAUCCCCUGUCCUCCUGUUCUUUGCUCCGUGAGAAAGAUCCACCUAUGACCUCAGGUCCUCAGACCGGACCAGCCCAAGGAACAUCUCACCAAUUUUAAAUCAGGUUCCCACGCCGACCCUAAUGCCGCUUGAAGCAGCCCUGAGAAACAUCGCCCAUUCUCUCUCUCCAUAUCACCCCCCAAAAAUUUUUGCCACCCCAACACUUCAACACUAUUUUGUUUUAUUUUUCUUAUUAAUAUAAGAAGGCAGGAAUGUCAGGCCUCUGAGCCCAAGCCAAGCCAUCGCAUCCCCUGUGACUUGCACGUAUACGCCCAGAUGGCCUGAAGUAACUGAAGAAUCACAAAAGAAGUGAAUAUGCCCUGCCUCACCUUAGCUGAUGACAUUCUACCACAAAAGAAGUGUAAAUGGCCAGUCCUUGCCUUAAGUGAUGACAUUACCUUGUGAAAGUCCUUUCCCUGGCUCAUCCUGGCUCAAAAAGCACCCCCACUGAGCACCUUGCCACCCCCACUCCUGCCCGCCAGAGAACAAACCCUCUUUGACUGUAAUUUUCCUUUACCUUCCCAAAUCCUAUAAAACGGCCCCACCCUUAUCUCCCUUCGCUGACUCUCUUUUCAGACUCAGCCCGCCUGCACCCAGGUGAUUAAAAGCUUUAUUGCUCACACAAAGCCUGUUUGGUGGUCUCUUCACAGGGACGCGCAUGAAACCCGCCACCACGCCCGGCUAAUUUUUUGUAUUUUUAGUAGAGAAGGGGUUUCACCAUGUUAGCCAAGAUGGUCUCAAUCUCCUGACCUUGUGAUCCACCCUCCUCAGCCUCCCAAAGUGCUGGGAUCACAGGCGUGAGCCACCGUGCCCGGCCGUAAGUAGUAAUUUGAAUGAUUUCUACGUCAAAGAUAUGGCUACAGGCCAAGAAAAUACAGUGGUGGGUUAACAGACACAGUCUUGGCCCUAAAAAGGUUUACAGUCUAGUGGGAGAAGUAGCCUCAAAUAAGGGACUAGACAAA
rnacentral:lncRNA from 10 species